rnacentral:rRNA from 1 species
ACGAACGCUGGCGGCGUGCUUCACACCUGCAAGUCGAACGGAAAGGCCCUGCUUUUGUGGGGUGCUCGAGUGGCGAACGGGUGAGUAACACGUGAGUAACCUGCCCUUGACUUUGGGAUAACUUCAGGAAACUGGGGCUAAUACCGGAUAGGAGCUCCUGCUGCAUGGUGGGGGUUGGAAAGUUUCGGCGGUUGGGGAUGGACUCGCGGCUUAUCAGCUUGUUGGUGGGGUAGUGGCUUACCAAGGCUUUGACGGGUAGCCGGCCUGAGAGGGUGACCGGCCACAUUGGGACUGAGAUACGGCCCAGACUCCUACGGGAGGCAGCAGUGGGGAAUAUUGCACAAUGGGCGGAAGCCUGAUGCAGCAACGCCGCGUGCGGGAUGACGGCCUUCGGGUUGUAAACCGCUUUCGCCUGUGAUGAAGCGUGAGUGACGGUAAUGGGUAAAGAAGCACCGGCUAACUACGUG